AAUGCAAUUACUGGGUCAUAUGGUAACUGUCCUUUUAGUUUUCUAAGAAAGUGCCAAACUGUUUUCCAGAGAGGCUGUACCAUUUUAUAUUCCCACCAGCAAU
rnacentral:pre_miRNA from 1 species